rnacentral:rRNA from 1 species
AAGGGAAUCUUCCGCAAUGGGCGAAAGCUUGACGGAGCAACGCCGCGUGAGUGAUGAAGGUCUUCGGAACGUAAAACUCUGUUAUUAGGGAAGAACAAAUGUGUAAGUAACUAUGCACGUCUUGACGGUACCUAAUCAGAAAGCCACGGCUAACUACGUGCCAGCAGCCGCGGUAAUACGUAGGUGGCAAGCGUUAUCCGGAAUUAUUGGGCGUAAAGCGCGCGUAGGCGGUUUUUUAAGUCUGAUGUGAAAGCCCACGGCUCAACCGUGGAGGGUCAUUGGAAACUGGAAAACUUGAGUGCAGAAGAGGAAAGUGGAAUUCCAUGUGUAGCGGUAAAAUGCGCAGAGAUAUGGAGGAACACCAGUGGCGAAAGCGACUUUCUGGUCUGUAACUGACGCUGAUGUGCGAAAGCGUGGGGAUCAAACAGG